rnacentral:rRNA from 1 species
GAUGAACGCUGGCGGCGUGCCUAAUACAUGCAAGUCGAGCGAACAGACGAGAGUGCUUGCACUCUCUGACGUUAGCGGCGGACGGGUGAGUAACACGUGGGUAACCUACCUAUAAGACUGGGCUAACUUCGGGAAACCGGAGCUAAUACCGGAUAAUAUUUAGCUUCGCAUGAAGCAAUAGUGAAAGACGGUUCUGCUGUCACUUAUAGAUGGACCCGCGGUGUAUUAGCUAGUUGGUGAGGUAACGGCUCACCAAGGCAACGAUACAUAGCCGACCUGAGAGGGUGAUCGGCCACACUGGGACUGAGACACGGCCCAGACUCCUACGGGAGGCAGCAGUAGGGAAUCUGCCGCAAUGGACGAAAGUCUGACGGAGCAAUGCCGCGUGAGUGAAGAAGGUUUUCGGAUCGUAAAACUCUGUUGUAAGGGAAGAACAAGUACGUUAGUAACUGAACGUACCUUGACGGUACCGUACCAGAAAGCCACGGCUAACUACGUG